rnacentral:Y_RNA from 1 species
GGCUGGUCCAAAGGUACAGAGUUAUCUUGAUUGUUCACAGUCAGUUAAAGAUCAAACUCCUUUUCUACUCUUUUCCCCACUCUCAUUCCUGCACUUGACUAGUCUUAA